rnacentral:rRNA from 1 species
AUUGAACGCUGGCGGAAUGCUUUACACAUGCAAGUCGAACGGUAGAGGGGGCAACCCCUUGAGAGUGGCGAACGGGUGAGUAAUGUAUCGGAACGUGCCCAGUCGUGGGGGAUAACGUAGUGAAAAUUACGCUAAUACCGCAUACGAUCUAUGGAUGAAAGCGGGGGAUCGCAAGACCUCGCGCGAUUGGAGCGGCCGAUAUCAGAUUAGGUAGUUGGGGGGCUAAAGGCACAACAAGCCAACGAUCUGUAGCUGGUCUGAGAGGACGACCAGCGACACUGGAACUGAGACACGGUACAGACUCGUACGGGAGGGAGCAGUGUGGAAUUUUGGACAAUGGAUGCAAGUCUGAUCCAGCCAUGCCGCGUGCAGGACGAAGGCCUUCGGGUUGUAAACUGCUUUUGUACGGAACGAAAAAGCUCUUAUUAAUACUAGGAGUCCAUGACGGUACCGUAAGAAUAAGCACCGGCUAACUACGUGCCAGCCGCCGCAGUAA